UUUCUGUUAGUAUAAUGAGUACGUUGGCUUUUGGUGCCGGAGGGGGGUGAAUUCUCACAGGAAU
rnacentral:tRNA from 1 species